rnacentral:rRNA from 1 species
UACGAAGGGUGCAAGCGUUAAUCGGAAUUACUGGGCGUAAAGGGUGCGUAGGCGGUUGUUUAAGUCUGUCGUGAAAUCCCCGGGCUCAACCUGGGAAUGGCGAUGGAAACUGGGCAGCUAGAGUGUGUCAGAGGAUGGUGGAAUUCCCGGUGUGGCGGUGAAAUGCGUAGAGAUCGGGAGGAACAUCAGUGGCGAAGGCGGCCAUCUGGGACAACACUGACGCUGAAGCACGAAAGCGUGGGGAGCAAACAGG